AUAUACAACUUAAAUCAGUGUGUAUAUAUAUCUAUAUAUGUACAUACACAUAUAUUAUGGACCGACCGAGUUGGUGGUUAUAAACACAAGCGCGCACCGUCCUUUUCUCUUCUCAUUUUCUUUCAUCGAACCCUUGAAGCGCGUGCCUUCGGUUAUACACCCUUCUCUCUUACUACCUACGUUCUACGUUUAAAUUUGAUAUCGUAUUACCAAUUGUUCAAACACGUAAAAGAAGAACGUGCAAUUGGUUUUGUAACGAUUAUAUCAAUGAAACCUUCCAAGUUUAUAAGAAAUUAUAUACAUCGCAUCACCUUUUUACGAGAGCUGUCUGCUUUCAAAAAUAUCUUCGUGUGUUUUACCUGCGGCACAAAAGAUUGCGAGUAUAAUGAAGUUGCUUCCAUUCUUUGAGUAUUCUUCCCUUCCUCUCUUACAUCUUUCGCACGAGCGAACCGGAGGCCAUCGAUGUCGCGUGGCGUGCGCGUGGAGGAGCCUGCGAGAUAAAAAUAAAAAGAAGAAAAAGAAGAACGAAAAAAAAAGAGAAAGAAAAAAAUAAAAUAG